rnacentral:rRNA from 1 species
UCAAUACCCGGUAGCUUGACAUUACCUUUAGAAGAAGCACCGGCUAACUCCGUGCCAGCAGCCGCGGUAAUACGGAGGCUGCGAGCGUUAAUCGGAAUUACUGGGCGUAAAGCGUGCGUAGGUGGUUCGUUAAGUCAGAUGUGAAAGCCCUGGGCUCAACCUGGGAACUGCAUUUGAAACUGGCGGACUAGAGUAUAGUAGAGGGGAGUGGAAUUUCAGGUGUAGCGGUGAAAUGCGUAGAUAUCUGAAGGAACACCAGUGGCGAAGGCGACUCCCUGGACUAAAGCUGACGCUGAGGUACGAAAGCGUGGGUAGCAAACAGGAUUAGAUACCCUGGUAGUCCACGCCGUAUACGAUGUCGACUAGCCGUUGGUCCUAUAUACAGGAUUAGUGGCGCAGCUAACGCA